ensembl:lncRNA
AUGAGAUUAACCAGCAGGUUCAACAGCGAGGCUGCAAAUCACAUACACAAACAAACCGCUGCAGACUCAUUUAUCAUCUGCUGCUGGAAUAGUCGGGCGCGUUUCGACGAACAGACAGCUGGUAAUUCCUGCAGGAACGGUGCUCUGGAAUGGUGCUCAGUAUCAGCACAUCCUGCCACAGUGGAUGAAGAUGAAGACACCACUUCUGCUGUGACAGAGGUACAAAAUGAAGAUGCUGGGAGGACCACAGAGAUUAUGGCUGGGGAUUCCUGUACAGAGGAAGGUCCAUCUACAUCCACACAGAAUGUAAAAAUUGUUUGCAGUUGUCCUGAUUAAAAAUAUUUGGUCUGUGUAUUACAGAUUAUAUAUCAAUUAUAUUGAAUUAUCAUUCUGUCUUCCAAGCUGCCUGAAAAAGGAGCUGUAUAAGGUCCAUCUUCAAAUGCAAAUUAGAAAAGUUGAUCUGGAGCUGGACCUUCUACAACUACAAAUGGAGAAGAAAAAAAAAACGUGAACUUAAAAAGGCCAGUCUUGAAACUGAAUUGCUGAAGCACUGGUAUUUUUAAGCAAAUAUUAAGUAUUUACCUAGUGAUUAUUGUUGAAUGGUCAAGCAAUAAAUAGAAAUGUCUUUCAAUUAGAGGAAAUAAAGAAACAAUGAACCACACUUAACUGUUCACUUUGUGCAUUAGUCAUUUAAUUAGAAAUGAUGUUGGCAGAUCACAUUACACUCUGCAAUCUCUUUGGUUCACUCUUGCUAUCUUCAUAAAUGGUUCAUCAUGGUUUAUGGCCAGAGAACUUCACAACAUUGUGUAGACCAGCUCAUUGAUGGUUAGACCAAUUUUAAC